GACGGAGGAUGCAAGCGUUAUCCGGAAUGAUUGGGCGUAAAGCGUCCGCAGGUGGCAGUUCAAGUCUGCUGUCAAAAACCGGGGCUUAACCUCGGAAAGGCAGUGGAAACUGAACAGCUAGAGUCCGGUAGGGGUAGCGGGAAUUCCCAGUGUAGCGGUGAAAUGCGUAGAGAUCAGGAAGAACAUCGGUGGCGAAGGCGCUUUGCUGGACCAUAACUGACACUCAGGGACGAAAGCUAGGGGAGCGAAUGGG
rnacentral:rRNA from 1 species